UGCAAGGAAAUGGUUGCAGUCUUCUUGAAAGGCUUGAUAGCGCAGACCCAGGUCAUAAAUACUUAUAAGCAAAUGCCACCAUGCUACUUUUAAUAUGAUCGUGCAUUUCAUAAAUAAUUCAGGCGCAGUGAGAGUCAAAAUUCGUAUUAGGAGGUUGUCGAUAGACAAUAUUUCCUAAAAAUCUCGACAGAGUAGCAAAAUUUCGUACACAUUUUCCGACAAUGAGAUGCUUCAGGGGGGCUGUAGCUUCCCUGACUUCAAGGAAAAUACUUUACACAAAUGUCAUAACGUUUUCAGCUUAUCUCAAACAAAUAUUAGCUCUCUUCUAUAUGAAAAAAGCGUUUAGAACAUCUACUUCAUAAAAGACUGUAACUGAAAGUCUCAGUCCUCCAGGUUAUGAUAAUUUUGUUGAUAAAAAGGGGAUUCUGACUUUUUUGUCUGUAAAAACGAUUUUUUGUAGUUUACAAAAGAAAACAAACAAGUAAUGUUCUGUGGAGAUUUCAACCUUGGAUUGUCAAGGUGCUUUCAAUGCAGUUUAAAGAGAGUAAAAUACAGCAAAGCAGAGUGAGGUUAUAAACAGAACAAUUAAACAGAAAUGUCUUGACAAACUAGUAAAUUAAGCAUAGUUGAUGAAGAUGUAGUAUACAAAGAUUGUGACUUUAUCAAAUGUGAAUCACAUGAAACUUGAUUUGCUCUCUACAGAUCUACUUCUUGAACUCUUAUUUGGUAGAAGGUCCUACAAUAUCCUUUAUUAGGAUCCUGAACAGAUCAUAUACAGGAUCCUGAUUAGAUCAUAUACAGGAUCCUGAUUAGAUCCUAUACAGGAUCCUGAUAAGAUCAUAUAUAGGAUCCUGAACAGAUCAUAUACAGGAUCCUGACAAGAUCAUAUAUAGGAUCCUGAACAGAUCAUAUACAGGAUCCUGAUUAGAUCAUAUACAGGAUCCUGAUUAGAUCCUAUACAGGAUCUUAAAAAUAUCCUGUCCAAGACCCGAAUCAUUUCCUACAGGAUCUUGAUGAGAUCCUAUUCAGGACCCUGCACAUAUCCUAUAUAGGAUCCUAUACAGGAUCCUGCAAGAUUUUUCACUAAGGUUCAAGAAAUACAUAGGAUCCUAUUAAGAUCUUUUAAGGAAUACUUUUAUUCUUAUCAGGAUCCUGUAAGAUCUUAUUAAGAUCCUAUAGGAUCCUAUAAGAUCCUAUAGGAUCUUGUACAGAAUCUUGAACAAGAUCCUGUAGGAUCCUUUACCAAUAUCCUGUGAGGAUCCUGCGAGGAUCCUAUACAGGAUCCUGCAAGAUUUUUCACCGGGGAUUAUUGGAGGAAGGCAAAAAUGGGGACGACCCCCCCUGGAUGCCCUUAGAGUGCUUUAUUUUACUUUGAUAUCACAAUGUUAGUCAACAUUAGAAACAAGGAUGUUUAUUCUCUUUGUAACUUUCAUUCAGCCUUUUAUAAUUCAUCAAUUGGUUCCUGGAAAUUUUCACAGGUGCAGGGGAUCAUCCUUUUUUGCGCAUGUAUGAAGGAAUGGAAAAACUUGGAAUAAAAGAUAAAAAAGGUGUUGCUGGCCCUUUGGUCCGAAAGCAAACUACAGAAGAAGAGGACAUGGCAUUCUUUGAGAAGAGAUACCAAGAAAGGCUUCGACUUGAAAAAGAAAAAGCAAGAGAACAGGCACAAAAAGUUGCAGCUAGUCGAAGAGAGAGGGCCAAUGCUGACAGAGCAAAGACAAAAGCACAACAUAAAGGAAGUGCUGUUAAACGAUAGCACAGUAUAAAAG